rnacentral:tRNA from 1 species
GCCCGGAUGGUGGAAUCGGUAGACACAAGGGAUUUAAAAUCCCUCGGCGUUCGCGCUGUGCGGGUUCAAGUCCCGCUCCGGGCA